GAUGAACGCUGGCGGCGUGCCUAAUACAUGCAAGUCGAGCGAACAGACGAGGAGCUUGCUCCUCUGACGUUAGCGGCGGACGGGUGAGUAACACGUGGAUAACCUACCUAUAAGACUGGGAUAACUUCGGGAAACCGGAGCUAAUACCGGAUAAUAUAUUGAACCGCAUGGUUCAAUAGUGAAAGACGGUUUUGCUGUCACUUAUAGAUGGAUCCGCGCCGCAUUAGCUAGUUGGUAAGGUAACGGCUUACCAAGGCAACUAUGCGUAGCCGACCUGUGAGGGGGAUCGGCCACACGGGAACUGAGACACGGUCCAGACUCCUACGGGAGGCAGCAGUAGGGAAUCGUCCGCAAAGGGCGAAAGCCUGACGGAGCAACGCCGCGUGAGUGAUGAAGGUCUUCGGAUCGUAAAACUCUGUUAUUAGGGAAGAACAAAUGUGUAAGUAACUAUGCACGUCUUGACGGUACCUAAUCAGAAAGCCACGGCUAACUACGUG
rnacentral:rRNA from 1 species